rnacentral:rRNA from 1 species
CCGUUCCCAUCCCGAACACGGAAGUUAAGCCCUCCCGCGCCGAUGAUACUGCCCGCGCGGGAAAGUAGGCCGCCGCCAGAC